UGACUAGAUUAUCACUUAUCCU
rnacentral:miRNA from 1 species